rnacentral:rRNA from 1 species
AUUGAACGCUGGCGGCAUGCCUUACACAUGCAAGUCGAACGGCAGCACGGGAGCAAUCCUGGUGGCGAGUGGCGAACGGGUGAGUAAUAUAUCGGAACGUGCCCAGUCGUGGGGGAUAACGCAGCGAAAGCUGUGCUAAUACCGCAUACGAUCUAAGGAUGAAAGCGGGGGAUCGCAAGACCUCGCGCGAUUGGAGCGGCCGAUAUCAGAUUAGCUAGUUGGUGGGGUAAAGGCCCACCAAGGCGACGAUCUGUAGCUGGUCUGAGAGGACGACCAGCCACACUGGAACUGAGACACGGUCCAGACUCCUACGGGAGGCAGCAGUGGGGAAUUUUGGACAAUGGGCGCAAGCCUGAUCCAGCAAUGCCGCGUGCAGGAUGAAGGCCUUCGGGUUGUAAACUGCUUUUGUACGGAACGAAACGGCCCUUUCUAAUACAGGGGGCUAAUGACGGUACCGUAAGAAUAAGCACCGGCUAACUACGUGCCAGCAGCCGCCGCCGUAA